UAAACCUCUUUAAAGAUCUAAUUGAACAAGGGGUGGUGGAUCUCAUCAGAAUUAGACAUGGGAAUGUGUUUGGUUUUGCUUUUCCGACCUUAUUCAACAGGUUUUAAAUUAUGUGAAAGAACAAUGGAAUACUCAUUACAUUCGGGGAUCUCGUUAUGAAACAAUCAAAGGUCGACCAGACUCCUUGUAUUAUUUACCCGAGCUAAGUGGUGGUGGCACCCAUUUUUUAUUGUCCGUCCCUGAAGAUGAAAUUAUUUAUGCGCGAUCGCACAUUGUGGAAAUCCAAGAAGAAAAUAUAUACCAAAAAUAUUUCAACUAUGUUGUACAAUCUUGCAAUCUUGACAAACCGAGUGAUUGGAGGGAAGCACUGGAGCUUUAUAAUACUCUCCUGCAACAUGCCAACUGAAUUUGGUCUUUUUACUCCUUUGUCAGAGACAUAUUACAACAUAAGCAACUACGCUAACUUUAACAAGUAUAUGUAUAUAAAAGGUUCAUGUAAAUAAACUACACUACUAGGUUUCAAAUAGAAUGUCUCUUAUAGUCUUUUGGAAGAACUAACAAUACUCUACUAUAUGUAUACCAACUGUACGGUGCUACCUUUGUUCCAGCUGUUCUUCGCAAAAUGAAAGUUCAUGAUAAACAGUUAAACGCAUAAACUUUGGUCACUUUGCCGUUAUGUUUACAUAUUGUAUUAAAAUUAGAUCUAUUCUCCAAUUUAGGAUUAAUGUUCUUUUAGGUGAUAAAAACAUGUAAAGGUGUAAACAUGCAAACAAAUUGCGAACCUUUAGUCUACAAUCUUUUGGAAAUAAGGAUGCAUAUCACAUGGAUACCUGUUAAGAGGGGUUAAGAUUGCCACUAUCUUCAAGUCGUAUGUUGAGAUCAACUGUAAGCUGUUUGAAGUUAGGACAAUUUGUGCAUUUAAAUUGAAGAAUAAAUUGACUAAAAACCUGUCG